GAGCUUGCUCCUUUGACGUUAGCGGCGGACGGGUGAGUAACACGUGGGUAACCUACCUAUAAGACUGGGAUAACUUCGGGAAACCGGAGCUAAUACCGGAUAACAUUUGGAACCGCAUGGUUCUAUAGUGAAAGAUGGUUUUGCUAUCACUUAUAGAUGGAUCCGCGCCGCAUUAGCUAGUUGGUAAGGUAACGGCUUACCAAGGCGACGAUGCGUAGCCGACCUGAGAGGGUGAUCGGCCACACUGGAACUGAGACACGGUCCAGACUCCUACGGGAGGCAGCAGUAGGGAAUCUUCCGCAAUGGGCGAAAGCCUGACGGAGCAACGCCGCGUGAGUGAUGAAGGUCUUCGGCUCGUAAAACUCUGUUAUUAGGGAAGAACAAACGUGUAAGUAACUGUGCACGUCUUGACGGUACCUAAUCAGAAAGCCACGGCUAACUACGUGCCAGCAGCCGCGGUAAUACGUAUGUGGCAAGCGUUAUCCGGAAUUAUUGGGCGUAAAGCGCGCGUAGGCGGUUUCUUAAGUCUGAUGUGAAAGCCCACGGCUCACCCGUGGAGGGUCAUUGGAAACUGGGAAACUUGAGUGCAGAAGAGGAAGUGGAACUCCAUGUGUAGCGGUGAAAUGCGCAGAGAUAUGGAGGACACCAGUGCGAAGCGACUUUCUGGUCUGUAACUGACGCUGAUGUGCGAA
rnacentral:rRNA from 1 species